rnacentral:rRNA from 1 species
CCUACGGGUGGCAGCAGUGGGGAAUAUUGGGCAAUGGGCGCAAGCCUGACCCAGCAACGCCGCGUGACGGAAGAAGGCUUUCGGGUUGUAAACUUCUUUUCUCAGGGACGAAGCAAGUGACGGUACCUGAGGACUAAGCCACGGCUCACUACGUGCCAGCAGCCGCGGUAAUCCAUAGGUGGCACGCGUUAUCCGGAUUUACUGGGUGUAAAGGGCGUGUAGGCGGGGCAGCAAGUCAGAUGUGAAACCCACGGGCUCAACCUGUGGCCUGCAUUGGAGACUGUGUUUCUUGAGUAAUGGGGAGGCAGACGGAAUUCCUAGUGUAGCGGUGAAAUGCGUAGAUAUUAGGAGGAACACCAGUGGCGAAGGCGGUCUGCUGGACAGCAACUGACGCUGAGGCGCGAAAGCGUGGGGAGCAAACAGGAUUAGAUACCCGAGUAGUC